rnacentral:lncRNA from 1 species
GAAAGAAUUCUGAGUUUUGUUACAUUAUGGCACAUGUCUUCUGGAAUAUUGCCGGACAAGAAGUUUUUAUUAAGAUCCAAAGUUACUAGUGAAGAGAUCUGCAAUGUUGAUCUUGGUAAAAUACCAGAAAUUCGGUUGCUUUUCAUGCUCAAAAUUUUUAGGCUACCAAGAUUACUAAUAUUUAAUGGAAUCUGUUCUUGCAGAAAAUUGAAGUCCACGUUCAGGAUCUCCAGCCUCGACAGGUUACAGAGUGAAGAUGGAAUGGCUCCUUCAAAAGAGUUGUUAGCAAUAAUCAACUGUUCAAGAUUUGGUAAUUGACCAAGACUUG